ensembl:lncRNA
AUUUUAAAGAUUAGUCUGUUUUGUCCUAUAGGAACACAGAAAAAUAUGUUUGCCUUCAAAUUGGCUAGUUGACUACUGACCUGCGGCUGGGUGGAGAAUGUGCAGGUCGCCUCUGUCUGGGUGGAGAGUAGCUGAGGGAGCGAGAGUCUCUCAGCGAAUCAGCUGGCACUCUUUGAGGUUGCGCUGGGCUGGAAAAGAUGACAGAGGUGUCAAAUAUCAACUGGUUCCUGUAUGUUACAGAAAUAUUCCAGACUUUUUGAAUAACAUUAGGUAAUAAAUAAUAUUGUAAUUUCCAUAACUAGAAACAUUACAUUAUAUGAGUUCUGGGUCAAGAACCAAUGGAAAUAAUAGAUCUAUGACAAAUAGUUAACAAAUAGUUAACAUUAACAACAAUUCUGGUGGUCCUAGUCUUUUUGGUUACCACUUUUUCUUGUCUUCCUUCUCACUUUCAGAAGAGGAGGAGGAGGAGGAGCUAUGGGCAGCCGUUAUCCUGUCACCUCUGGGAGAGAGAGAGGGAGAUAUUGUAACGAGAGGAAUCAUAGUCAGAACUGUCUGAUGAAGAGGAAGAUGAGGAGGAGGAAGAAGAAGAAGACGAUGAAGAACGGGGGCUGCCUAACUUUCCUUUCCUUUUCUCUUUGGCCCCCUUCUCGCUCACACCGUUUUCAGUCCUGACUGGUCGGUCUGAGGGAUCGGUAGCGCUGCGUGAGGGGAGAGGAGAUUGGGUCCUCGAGGUGUCUCGUAGAGAUACUCUGGUCUCUGAAUGGCUGAGGGCCUGUGGUGACCUGAAGUGGGGUGGGUCAGAGUGACGUGUUUCUUUGGGGUGGGCUCUGAUUUCUGAUUGGCUGGGAAGGGGACUGGUCUCCUUGGAGUGGAGCGGUGAGGGUAUGGAACGAGCCUUCCUUCCUCUGUCUCCCCCUUUCUCUCGUUCGUCUCUAUCACUUCUUCGGUCUUUCUCCACCGUUGGUUUCAUCACUUUUUCUACAGGCAGCUCCUUCCUCUCUCGGGCCGGAGAGGGGGAUGAGGAAGAAGAACCAGAAGUGGAAGAGCGACGGGGUGGGGGGACCUCUUUAAUAGGUUGACGCUCUCGCCUCUCUUGCUCUUUUUCACGUUGCCGCUCUUUUUCCCUCGCUCUCUCCAGCUCUCUAUUCUUCUCUCUCUCCUGGUCUCUCCGCCUUUCUCUGGAUAGCGAGAGGCUGCUUCUACUUCCUCGAAUGGGAGAGGGGGAUCGCCGAGACCUGAGGGACGAGAAAAUAAAUACACAAAUUAAAUAAACAAUUUAG